ACGCGACGCUACAGAACACGUCGUCCGAAACCGACGGCUGCUGCUCAAAUUUGUCAAAGCCUCAAAGGUCGUCUGCUGCAGAUGACCGUGUCUGCAUAACGAUAUGGCCAGGCUUAUCAGCCAAUUGGAAAGGCAAACACCAAGCAACAUGUUUUUUUACAGAAAAUUCAACUACUACGUAUUAUACAUCUAAAAAGAUUUCAGAAUGAAACAUGAGAUGUUUGCAGCACCACGGCACUCCAGGUUCCAUAGCCCAUAAUCCAUCUAGAACGAGCGACCGACAGCAACCACUAGAUUCCUGGCCCAAUGACCACAUUGAACUCCUCACUGUCACAGCUAAAGUACGAUGCGCCUUAUCUUCGCCCAAAACUGGGUUGAAGGGUAUAUCCUGCGCUUUUCCUACUUCCUAUUGUCUAUCUACUUGUUUCAUGAAAGGCUUGGAAUGACUGGGUAUAUAACCCUUCACAGGUCCUACUAAUGACAUGGCUUCUUGUAGAGCCUCCAGUAGAUGAUCAGGAUGAUCCUCGAUGUGCACACGGCCAAACUGUUCUGGUAUUUUGCGCAAAACCCGUCCAACGAUCUGCG
rnacentral:lncRNA from 7 species